rnacentral:rRNA from 1 species
AACGAACGCUGGCGGCAUGCCUAACACAUGCAAGUCGAACGAGACCUUCGGGUCUAGUGGCGCACGGGUGCGUAACGCGUGGGAAUCUGCCCUUCGGUUCGGAAUAACUCAGGGAAACUUGAGCUAAUACCGGAUAAUGACGUAAGUCCAAAGAUUUAUCGCCGAAGGAUGAGCCCGCGUAGGAUUAGCUUGUUGGUGGGGUAAUGGCCCACCAAGGCGACGAUCCUUAGCUGGUCUGAGAGGAUGAUCAGCCACACUGGGACUGAGACACGGCCCAGACUCCUACGGGAGGCAGCAGUGGGGAAUAUUGGACAAUGGGCGAAAGCCUGAUCCAGCAAUGCCGCGUGAGUGAUGAAGGCCUUAGGGUUGUAAAGACUCUUUUACCCGGGUAUGAUAAUGACAGUACCGGGAGAAUAAGCUCCGGCUAACUCCGUG